CCUACGGGCGGCAGCAGUGGGGAAUAUUGCGCAAUGGGCGAAAGCCUGACGCAGCGACGCCGCGUGAGGGAUGAAGGUCUUCGGAUCGUAAACCUCUGUCAGCAGGGAAGAACGGUCACUGUGCUAAUCAGCAGUGAAUUGACGGUACCUGCAAAGGAAGCACCGGCUAACUCCGUGCCAGCAGCCGCGGUAAUACGGAGGGUGCGAGCGUUAAUCGGAAUUAAUGGGCGUAAAGCGGUCGUAGGCGGUAUGUCAAGUCAAGGGUGAAAUCCCCGGGCUCAACGUGGGAACUGCCUUUGAAACUAGCAAACUGGAGUGUGUGAGAGGAUAGUGGAAUUCCAGGUGUAGGAGUGAAAUCCGUAGAUAUAUGGAGGAACAUCAGUGGCGAAGGCGACUAUCUGGCACAUAACUGACGCUGAGGAGCGAAAGCGUGGGUAGCAAACAGGAUUAGAUACCCUAGUAGUC
rnacentral:rRNA from 1 species